UGGGGAAUAUUGGACAAUGGGCGCAAGCCUGAUCCAGCCAUGCCGCGUGAGUGAUGAAGGCCUUAGGGUUGUAAAGCUCUUUCACCGGUGAAGAUAAUGACGGUAACCGGAGAAGAAGCCCCGGCUAACUUCGUGCCAGCAGCCGCGGUAAUACGAAGGGGGCUAGCGUUGUUCGGAUUUACUGGGCGUAAAGCGCACGUAGGCGGAUCGAUCAGUCAGGGGUGAAAUCCCAGGGCUCAACCCUGGAACUGCCUUUGAUACUGUCGAUCUGGAGUAUGGAAGAGGUGAGUGGAAUUCCGAGUGUAGAGGUGAAAUUCGUAGAUAUUCGGAGGAACACCAGUGGCGAAGGCGGCUCACUGGUCCAUUACUGACGCUGAGGUGCGAAAGCGUGGGGAGCAAACAGG
rnacentral:rRNA from 2 species